rnacentral:lncRNA from 1 species
AAAAAUUUCCUACCCGACCCAAUUCCCUAGACCUAAAGGGAUGAGGAUCACAAUAGAGAUUAGAUUUUUAGGCCUAAGCUAAAGAGAAAAAUGGAAAACAGACCCUUAUACCAAAAAACGAGCUGCUCUAUCUUCUUCACAAGCUAACCAUCGGAUCCUAAUCUUCAGCAGCUAACGACGACCCCCUCCCUAUCAUUCUUCUUUCUUUUUCUUUAAUCCAUAUUCGUGCACGCCCUUGAAGAUCUGGUUGAAGAAGUCACAAGAAAGAAGCGAAAAUUCCAAAAUCGGAUUUGAAAAGCUAAACAAGUUGAAUUUCUUAAAAAUCUGGAUUUCUAGUUGUCUCUCAGAGUCAAAAUCACCGUUGUUCAUUGUUGAAGCUGUUGUAUCUGCGUAGCUGAACUCUCUCCGAUUUUCUUGACCUUUAUUUGGGUUCAUUUCCUUCUUCUUGUGAUAAAUUCAAGGUAAAUGUUCUUAUAUCUCGCUAAAUGUGCUGAGUUUUGUAAGAUCUUAUAGUUUUUAUGGUGCUGAAAUUGAAUUGCAUUCUUGGAAUCAUGAUUUCGAUUAUUAGAUCUGUUUUAUUGGUGUUUAUAUGUUAACGACUAAGUUAUGCUAAUGACUUGGGUCUGAGUUUUUUAAAAUUGGAGUUAGUUGUUAAUCUGUGUCAUUUGGUUUCUAUUGUUGUUCUGUACUUUCAUGAUUUAUUCGUUGUUCAAAUGUUGACAUUUAUUUGCUUAAUUUUAUUGUUUUCCCCAGUAUUAGUUUGAUGUUCUUACUGUUAAAUCUCAUCCGCUAUUACAAACUCUGUAUGACUAUGAGACUCGGUUAAAAAUAGUAUAUUGGGCUUUAUAUCCAUCUAGCCACCAACAGACAAAUAAUAUGUCGAUAUUUUUUUUCCAGAAACAUAAUGAAGUACGACAUUAAGUUAUAUUUUAAGAGGAGUAGACAACCUUUUGCCAGUAUAUGAAAAGAAGAAGCAUUUGCAAAAUCUGAGCCUCCUUCGUAUCAUGAGGAACUUUUAAAAUUAUGUUUAAAUGUAAUGAAUGCAUAUGUUUGGAUUUGUUUGGCCACACUUGUAAAAUUGUUAUGAUUUACAUUGAUUUAUAUAUGUAAUAAGCUCACUCGAACUUGGAACGUUAUUUCACUCUCAUUAGUCUAUUGAUUUGUCCAUGGUCUGAUGAAUGCAUAAUUGUUAACAUGUCGCAGGGACUUGAGUUUGUUACUGAAUCAAUGACUAACCCCAUUUCCAAAAACGAUUCUCAUAAUUCGUGGCUUUGCAAUAACCUCAAAUUUAGGAAAAGAAAUAAUUCCGAACAUCAUAGCUUGCUUUAGGUGCGAUUAAUAAACCAUCGUGAUUGUGGGUACGGUUCCCGUGACAUAGUUACGAUGCCUAACUUCCUUAAACUCGGGUGUGCAUUUAUGUGACCCAAAUCCAAAUCUCAACAACGUUAGAUAAAAUGUGUCGUGGAUCGCGGGUGCAUUUAUGUGACGUGGUUCAAGAUGUAUUUUAGAUGACGUUGAAUCUUCCUAAAAUUAAUUAAAAGCGGUUAAUAAGUUAAAAUUGUACCAUAGGCUAAAACAUGUACUAAAAUCAAGUAAAUAGGUCAAUUAUGACAGUUGAGCGACCGUUCUAGAACCACGGAACUCGGGAAUGCCUAACACCUUCUCCCGAGUUAACAAAAUUCCUUACCCGGAUUUCUGUGUUCGCGGAUCGAUAAUAGAGUCAAUCCUUUCCUCGAUUCGGGAUUUAAACCGGUGACUUGGGACACCAUAAAUUAUCCCAAGUGGUGACUCUGAAUUUCAAAUUAUCCCGGUGACUCUGUCACUUAAAUUGGAAAAACUUCCCCUAUAUACUACCCUUUCGGGGUGUAGGAAUAAAUGAGGUGUGACAGCUCUGGCGACUCUGCUGGGGAUUUAACCGAGAAUCUCUGGUUCAGGGUUCAGAAUUC